rnacentral:rRNA from 1 species
AGAACGAACGUUAGCGGCGCGCCUAAGACAUGCAAGUCGAGCGAGAAAGGGAUUCGUCCCCGGUAAAGCGGCGCACGGGUGAGUAACACGUAGGUCAUCAACCCUCGAGUGGUGGAUAACCCUCCGAAAGGAGGGCUAAUACAGCAUGAUGCUAGCAAUAGCCAAAGCGGGCCUCUUCAUGAAAGCUCGCGCUAGAGGAUGAGCCUGCGGCCCAUCAGGUAGUUGGCGGGGUAAUGGCCCACCAAGCCAGAGACGGGUAGCUGGUCUGAGAGGAUGAACAGCCACACUGGAACUGAGACACGGUCCAGACUCCUACGGGAGGCAGCAGUCGGGAAUCUUCCGCAAUGGGCGAAAGCCUGACGGAGCGACGCCGCGUGAGCGAUGAAGGCCUUCGGGUUGUAAAGCUCUGUGGGGAGGGAAGAAUAAGUUCAGGUCAAUACCCUGAAUGAUGACGGUACCUCCUUAGCAAGCACCGGCUAACUCUGUGCCAGCAGCCGCGGUAAGACAGAGGGUGCAAACGUUGUUCAGAUUUACUGGGCGUAAAGCGUGUGUAGGCGGCUUCGCAAGUUGGAUGUGAAAUCCCACGGCUCAACCGUGGACGUGCAUCCAAAACUGCGUCGCUGGAGUCUCGGAGAGGAAGGUGGAAUGCUUGGUGUAGAGGUGAAAUUCGUAGAUAUCAAGCAGAACACCUGCGGCGAAGGCGGCCUUCUGGACGAUGACUGACGCUGAGACACGAAAGCGUGGGGAGCAAACAGGAUUAGAUACCCUGGUAGUCCACGCCGUAAACGAUGAGUGCUAGGUGUCACGGGCUUUGACCCUCGUGGUGCCGUAGCUAACGCAAUAAGCACUCCGCCUGGGGAGUACGGUCGCAAGACUAAA